ensembl:snRNA U6 U6 spliceosomal RNA
GUGCUUGCUUUGUCAGCACAUAUACUAACACUGGAAUGAUAUGGGAAAGCUUAGAAAGGCAUCUGUGCUAGAAUGACAUGCAAAUCCAUGAAGUAUUCCAUAUUUUA